CGGUAAAGCAGUUGACAUACAGAACCCUGAACCAUGAGAAUUGCCGCCUAGUAAAAGAUACCCCGCGUCAAACAUUUUGCUGCCAACCAAAACCGAUUUCCUUUCUUUCCCAGAAAGCUCGGUAAGAGAGACGGUUGCACCUUGCUCUUCUGAGGCAUUUAUUUCACUAGCCUUUUUCUUGACACAGCCUUCCAGCUUCACUCCAUCCCUAGUAGAUUAGAGCACUGAAAGGGGGAGGAACUUCAUUGCAUCUCUUGGUUCGAGAAAAAAAAAAAAGAAAGGUUAGAACUCAUUCGUUGUGGAUUUCCACCAACUGCUAAUGCCUAAUUGUCAAAAAAUCCGUCCCAGAUAGAAGAACUCCACUUUGGCGGUGGGCUUAGACUAGUCCCCGUCUUCCUCGCCAGUAGCUUUCAAAGGGUUGAAAGCGAGUAAGAGCUGCAAGCGAAUUCAGAAUUCUCUUACACGAUCAAGGC
rnacentral:misc_RNA from 1 species